rnacentral:rRNA from 1 species
AGGAUCAUUCGCAAUGGGCGAAAGCCUGACGAUGCGACGCUGCGUGGAGGAUGAAGGCCUUCGGGUUGUAAACUCCUGUCAUGGGGGAAGAGGCGAGGGGACCGAAUACGUCCCUUAGUUGACUGUACCCCAAGAGGAAUGGGCGGCUAACUCUGUGCCAGCAGCCGCGGUAAUACAGAGGCCCAUAGCGUUGUUCGGAUUUACUGGGCGUAAAGGGCGCGUAGGCGGCAGGGCGUGUCAAGUGUGAAAUCUCCGGGCCCAACCCGGAAAGUGCGCUUGAAACUACCUUGCUCGAGGCCGGGAGAGGGAAUCGGAAUACAGGGUGUAGCGGUGAAAUGCGUUGAUAUCCUGUAGAACACCGGAGGCGAAGGCGGAUUCCUGGAACGGUACUGACGCUGAGGCGCGAAAGUCGGGGGAGCAAACA